GAUGAACGCUGGCGGCGUGCUUAACACAUGCAAGUCGAACGGAAAGGCUCCUGCUUGCAGGGGUACUCGAGUGGCGAACGGGUGAGUAACACGUGGGUGAUCUGCCCUGCACUUCGGGAUAAGCCUGGGAAACUGGGUCUAAUACCGGAUAGGACGAUGGUUUGGAUGCCAUUGUGGAAAGUUUUUCGGUGUGGGAUGAGCUCGCGGCCUAUCAGCUUGUUGGUGGGGUAAUGGCCUACCAAGGCGUCGACGGGUAGCCGGCCUGAGAGGGUGUACGGCCACAUUGGGACUGAGAGACGGCCCAGACGCCUACGGGAGGCAGCAGUGGGGAAUAUUGCACAAUGGGCGCAAGCCUGAUGCAGCGACGCCGCGUGGGGGAUGACGGCCUUCGGGUUGUAAACUCCUUUCGCUAGGGACGAAGCGCAAGUGACGGUACCUGGAGAAGAAGCACCGGCUAACUACGU
rnacentral:rRNA from 1 species